rnacentral:rRNA from 1 species
GACGAACGCUGGCGGCGUGCCUAAUACAUGCAAGUCGAACGAGAGCGCCCGGUGCUUGCACUGGUCAAUCUAGUGGCGAACGGGUGAGUAACACGUGGGUAACCUGCCCAUCAGAGGGGGAUAACAUCCGGAAACGGAUGCUAAAACCGCAUAGGUCUUCGAACCGCAUGGUUUGAAGAGGAAAAGAGGCGCAAGCUUCUGCUGAUGGAUGGACCCGCGGUGCAUUAGCUAGUUGGUGAGGUAACGACUCACCAAGGCCGUGAUGCAUAGCCGACCUGAGAGGGUGAUCGGCCACAUGGGGACUGAGACACGGCCCAAACUCCUACGGGAGGCAGCAGUAGGGAAUCUUCCGCAAUGGACGCAAGUCUGACGGAGCAACGCCGCGUGAGUGAAGAAGGUUUUCGGAUCGUAAAACUCUGUUGUUAGAGAAGAACAAGUGCUAGAGUAACUGUUAGCGCCUUGACGGUAUCUAACCAGAAAGCCACGGCUAACUACGUG